rnacentral:rRNA from 1 species
GGCGGACGGGUGGAGUAACGACGUGGGUAACCGUACGCCUCAUACAGGGGGAUAACAGUUAGAAAUGACUGCUAACACCGCAUAAUAUAGCGAAACCGCAUGAUUUUUGCUAUCAAAUAUUUAUAGGUAUGAGAUGGGCCCGCGUCUGAUUAGCUAGUUGGUGGGGUAAAAGCCUACCAAGGCGACGAUCAGUAGCCGGCUUGAGAGAGUGGCCGGCCACAUUGGGACUGAGACACGGCCCAAACUCCUACGGGAGGCAGCAGUGGGGAAUAUUGGACAAUGGGGGAAACCCUGAUCCAGCGACGCCCGCGUGAGUGAAGAAGUAUUUCGGUAUGUAAAGCUCUAUCAGCAGGGAAGAUAAUGACAGUACCUGACUAAGAAGCCCCGGCUAACUACGUGCCAGCAGCUGC